ensembl:lncRNA
AUGUCAUAUGUACUGAGGCACAAUUUGACAGGAGUAGCUCUUCAGGAUCUUCUUACAAUGUUUAAUGAACAUUUCCCUGGCUUGGUGCCAGCAACCUCAUAUCUUUUUCAUAAAGCGUAUGGACAGUUUGGCCACUAUGUGCCCCAUUUUUAUUGUAUCAACUGUGAAAGCUAUAUGGGACCCAGUGAGACAGCUCCAAAAGAUUGUUCUUCUUGUAAUGCUGAAUUUGACAUUGAGAGAAACUUAAGGGUUGGGUCUUACUUUCUUGUACUUAGUCUAUCAACCCAAAUAGUGGACAUUGUGAAAAAAUCUGGGAUGCAUUUAAAUGAAAGACAAUCAAUUCCAGGCAUUAUUUCAGAUAUUCAGUGUGGGGCUGAAUAUGAAAAACUCAAGAAGAGUGGACAAAUAGGGGCUGAUGACAUAUCACUAAUGUGGAAUUGUGAUGGAAUUCCAGUUUUCAACAGCAAUAAUUUUCAGAUAUGGCCAAUUCAGUGUCAAAUCAUAGAGCUGUCACCAAAAGAUCGCCAAGCCAACAUAUGUAUACCAUGCUUAUGGUUUGGUAAAAGCAAGCCAAAUAUGAUCACAUUUUUAACUGCAUUUGUGGCAGAGCUCAAGGAACUGGAACAGACUGGAAUUAAAUGGAUGGACUCUGAAAAUGUAGAGCAUACAAGCAAAGUUCAUUUACUCCUGUGCUCCUCAGAUUCAGUUGCUCGCCCCCUCCUGAGAAACACAAAACAGUUCAAUGGCAAAUAUGGGUGUGACUUCUGCCUUCACACUGGUGGUGGUCCAUAUGUCUGGGAAACCCCAGAACCACCUUUACGGACAGAGAUGGAUCAUUUUCUGCAUGCUAUGCUGGCAACACCUGCUAAUCCAGUAAUGGGUGUGAAAGGCCCAUCCCCUUUGAUGGAACUUGAGAGCUUCAAGAUGAUCACUGGAUUCAUUCCUGAGUACCAACACAGUGUCUGCCUGGGUGUCACUAAACAGAUUACAUCUCUCUGGCUAGACAGUAAGCACCAUAAUGAAGACUGGUACUUGGGCGGCAAGGUCAGUGAUAUAGACCAGGAAUUGCUGGCCAUUAAACCACCUGUGGAGGUCACAAGGGCCCCAAGAUCAGUGAAGGACAGAAAAUUCUGGAAAGCAUCUGAGUGGAGGUCAUUUUUGUUGUUUUAU